rnacentral:rRNA from 1 species
UACGAAGGGGGCUAGCGUUGCUCGGAAUCACUGGGCGUAAAGGGUGCGUAGGCGGGUCUUUAAGUCAGGGGUGAAAUCCUGGAGCUCAACUCCAGAACUGCCUUUGAUACUGAAGAUCUUGAGUUCGGGAGAGGUGAGUGGAACUGCGAGUGUAGAGGUGAAAUUCGUAGAGAUCGGGAGGAACACCGGUGGCGAAGGCGGGUCUCUGGGCAUCUCCUGACGCUGAGGCGCGAAAGCGUGGGGAGCAAACGGG